UACGGAGGAUGCAAGCGUUAUCCGGAAUGAUUGGGCGUAAAGCGUCCGCAGGUGGCUGUGUAAGUCUGCUGUCAAAGAGCGAAGCUCAACUUCGUAAAGGCAGUGGAAACUACACGGCUAGAGUGCGUUCGGGGCAGAGGGAAUUCCUGGUGUAGCGGUGAAAUGCGUAGAGAUCAGGAAGAACACCGGUGGCGAAGGCGCUCUGCUAGGCCGCAACUGACACUGAGGGACGAAGGCUAGGGGAGCGAAUGGG
rnacentral:rRNA from 1 species